UUGACCUCGGAUCAGGUAGGAAGACCCGCUGAACUUAAGCAU
rnacentral:rRNA from 2 species